GUCUACGGCCGUAUCACUCUGAAUGUACCCAAUCUUGUCUGAUCUUGGAAGUUAAGCAGAGCGGGGCCUGGACAGUGCUCAGAUAGGAGAACACCAAGUACUGUAGUUU
ensembl:rRNA 5S_rRNA 5S ribosomal RNA